rnacentral:rRNA from 1 species
AUUGAACGCUGGCGGCAGGCUUAACACAUGCAAGUCGAGCGGAGAUGAGGUGCUUGCACCUUAUCUUAGCGGCGGACGGGUGAGUAAUGCUUAGGAAUCUGCCUAUUAGUGGGGGACAACAUUCCGAAAGGAACGCUAAUACCGCAUACGUCCUACGGGAGAAAGCAGGGGAUCUUCGGACCUUGCGCUAAUAGAUGAGCCUAAGUCGGAUUAGCUAGUUGGUGGGGUAAAGGCCUACCAAGGCGACGAUCUGUAGCGGGUCUGAGAGGAUGAUCCGCCACACUGGGACUGAGAAACGGCCCAGACUCCUACGGGAGGCAGCAGUGGGGAAUAUUGGACAAUGGGGGGAACCCUGAUCCAGCCAUGCCGCGUGUGUGAAGAAGGCCUUUUGGUUGUAAAGCACUUUAAGCGAGGAGGAGGCUACCGAGAUUAAUACUCUUGGAUAGUGGACGUUACUCGCAGAAUAAGCACCGGCUAACUCUGUGCCAGCCGCCGCCGUAAAAC